AAGUCGUAACAAGGUUUCCGUAGGUGAACCUGCGGAAGGAUCAUUAACACGUAUCCAACGUUAAACCCCCCGUGAACCUUCAGUGCGCUCGCACUUUCUUAGAAAAGGUAGCAAUCCCUGGUAAAUCAUUGCCGUGAGGCAAGUGGCCUGGCAUUCCUCUGCUUGUUGGUGUCUGAAAGUGUCACCAGCUCUGUACGAAUGGCGCAGUCACGAUCGCUAGAGGCGGGUCACUGGGCGCGAGCCCCCCUCGUCACCUUUGCAUGAAAACGGGCCUGCGCUUAAUUGUGCGGCCACCAAACUCGAACAACUGUUAACAAUGGAUAUCUUGGUUCU
rnacentral:misc_RNA from 1 species